rnacentral:rRNA from 1 species
UUCCUACGGGAGGCAGCAGUGAGGAAUAUUGGUCAAUGGGCGGAAGCCUGAACCAGCCAAGUCGCGUGAGGGAAUAAGGCCCUACGGGUCGUAAACCUCUUUUGCCGGGGAGCAAGGGCGGGGACGUGUCCCGGCCUGGAGAGUACCCGGAGAAAAAGCAUCGGCUAACUCCGUGCCAGCAGCCGCGGUAAUACGGAGGAUGCGAGCGUUAUCCGGAUUUAUUGGGUUUAAAGGGUGCGUAGGCGGACGCUUAAGUCAGCGGUAAAAUUGCGGGGCUCAACCUCGUCGAGCCGUUGAAACUGGGG